AAGUCAUCAAAGCGCGCUGCAGAUUGAAGGGAUCAGGAAUCGUAAUAUCAGAGGACCUAACACAUUUAAACAUCCAAAGACUUAAUCGUCUCAAACAACAAGAAGGAGUGGUUGACGCAUGGUCGGCAGCAGGAGGUAGGCUGUUUGCAAAACUUCGAGAUUCCAGUGUGGUAGAAAUAAAAAGUGGAGACACGAGUCCCAUAGACAGGAAGCUAACUGAGUUACACAACGAACAAAGAAGUCAACACCAAAGGAGGAGCGAGGGCAACCCGCAACGCUUCCCUCAGGAUACCCUUCAGAGACAGCAUGUUCACCGGCCGCAAAUUCAUCAGCAGUCGACCCAUAAAGAAAAAGCUCAGCGGGGACUAUCAACACCUCCCUCUCAGCUCUCAAGAUCCAGCCAUUCUACCCCAACUACACCUACAUCAGCCGCGGAAGCAGGUUCGCCCCAACCAGAUCAACAAACCGUGAAUGAAGUGACUGAGGUGUGCAGGGGAUGAGCAAGUGUGUAUAUAAAGGAUAUUACUUGUGCAAAAAACAAUUCUAUUUCUCAACACCAGCUUACUGGCUGUUUACAGACACCUGUGUAAAGUGUGACGUCGAUGGUUACUGAAGACCGCCUGCAAUUGUCCUCCUCUGACCAGGUGGCGCCAUCACACACAACAUUAAGAUAAGAGAAUUUACAUCAGAAAGGAAUUAUAACACGAUCGUCACUAGGAGCAUCUUUUAUGCGCUAGAAUCAAGCUGAAUCGACAGACUUCCAUGUGAAGAAGUGCCGCCAUUCCUCAACAAGAAUUGUCCACGACUUCCUCACCGGGGAUCAGUCACGUGACCUGAGGGUCAACAGUUCGUCUUGGGGAUCGUGGAUACAAAAGAUAGGCCAUCAACUCAGUCUGUACCUUUGAUGCUCUGGUCAUCAUACAUACCAAAGUGUCUACAGUAACCCUGUCCUAAGGCUUAACAGUAUUGACACCAUAUCAUUGUCCCUCUAAGCGUCUGAGAAGAAAGAGAUUCCGGAGGUUUAACGGUAAAUGCGACGACAAGCCUUUUACUGUUUGAACCAAAAACUUUUCCAGCAAGGAACAAGUUUUUCCAAGCUCCGAAAUUUCAGCAUUUACUCACAUGUCCGUGUUCAUGUAUCUCUGAGCACGACAAACACACGUUGACACGAUAUCCGUGACGAGCGAGUGUUUGGUUGACAAAUUGUUUAGACACGAAAAAUGUUUCAUGAAUUCACAUUUCCAGAUUGUGAAGAGUAAACACUAGAAAUCUAUACUUCACCGUUAUUCUGAUGCCAGCAAUCCUUUAGAACUGUUUUGUGAUUCAAAGUCCGGUCACGUGCGCGUGUUUGUGCGUGCGCAUGCGCGUGAUAGUGAUGGCGGUUUGUUGGACUACCCCUAGUGUAAGAAAUGUUGCUCGUGGGAGGUUUGUCUUGCGAUAGAGUUAUUACACUGUCGAUGUAUCUUGCUUCGGUAUCAACCCACCCUGGAAUAUGCCGUGCGACAGACGCAUGACCUGCUGCGACAGACGCAUGACCUGCUGCGACAGACGCAUGACCUGCUGCGUCCAAAGCACAAGCACGAACACCAAGCAAUCCCACAAAGCAUCACAACCAGAACUAGUGCGGUGUAACUUUUACGAGACAUUUUAUUGCCCUUAAAAUGCUUUUCCCAGAAACAUUUUAGUGUGCGGAAUGCUUUUUAUGAGCAACACCAGCACGUGAAAACCGAGAGGCUGACGAGUACAAGCAAACACUCUCGCAAGUGAUGGACACGCAGGAAACACGUCUGGAGAACUUUGGUAACUUUCAUAGAAUAAUGUUUGUAUGUCGGCUAUUGUAGGGUGUUAUGGGUGUUAGGUAGCAUACGAUGCUUUCAUGUUUCUCCAACAUUUUCUCUUUUAUUAGGUUUGUUUGCUCAGUCUUUUGCUGGAUGUGGGUUAUAGACAACGAUUAGCAAUACAUCAGCUCUCCGACUUUCUCUUUAUAUGGGUCUCUGGUUGUGUCACAUAGAAAAAGAAGAAAUGAAGUUCAUAAAUAAAAAUAAUAAUUGUGAAACUUAUUCGUGAACCCACGUGACUUGAAGCUGGUGGAAAGCAUGUGAUGUUGCUCUUGAUUGCUGGACGCUUUGC
rnacentral:lncRNA from 1 species